GACAGAGGUGUCGAGCGUUAGGCGGAAUCACUGGGCUUAAAGCGUGUGUAGGCGGACCGUUAAGUACCUUGUGAAAUCCCCCCGGCUCAACCGGGGAACGGCUGGGUAUACUGGCGGUCUUGAGCCAUCCAGGGGCAGUCGGAACAGACGGUGGAGCGGUGAAAUGCGUAGAUAUCGUCUGGAACGCCGAAGGUGAAAACAGACUGCUGGGGAUGCGCUGACGCUGAGACACGAAAGCCAGGGGAGCGAACGGG
rnacentral:rRNA from 1 species